AAGAAAAAGCAAACGGCAACUCACCACUAUAGAUAAAUCUUCAAACUUUUUUCCGAGUCUUGCAGUAAAAACAUACACGCAGUGGGGAGCUGCUCAGAGAAGGCAGGGGGAGGCAGAUCAGCGACAGCGUUUUCUCACGUCAGUGCGUGUUUCGUGAGGCUGGUGACCUCAAUCCGUACAGCUUCACACUGGAGAAGCCAGCCACUCCGGCUAGAAGAAGUGCAAAGCAGCGUGAAACAACUUGUCCCGGUGUGCCCCUGCCUCUGCCUUUGUAUGCCUUUACUCUGUUGAAUAAAGUCUGUGGAUGUGUUUAUUGUUGACCAUGUCCUGGAACAGCUGGAGCAUCUCCCUGAUGGUAAAGAUCAAUGCCUUUGGAGUGUAGAGAGAGGACCAUGCAGAACAUCAUGUGGACUUGUCAUCUAUAUGUUUACUGCACCUGUUACAUAAAAAUGUAAUCCAAAAUUCCAUCAUUUGAACUUGUCCCCUAUAACAUUACAGCCAACCAUUUCCAUCAAAAUUCCAUCUAUACGUGCUAUGACCCUGUCAUUAUCUUGCUAUUGA